rnacentral:tRNA from 1 species
AGAAUGGUGGCUGAGUGGUUUAAAGCGGUGGUUUGCUAAACCAUUGUAUAAAUAAAUUUUAUACCAUGGGUUCGAAUCCCAUUCAUUCUA